rnacentral:rRNA from 1 species
UGCAGUAGAACGCUGAAGCUUAGUGCUUGCACUGAGCGGAGGAGUUGCGAACGGGUGAGUAACGCGUAGGUAACCUGCCUGGUAGCGGGGGAUAACUAUUGGAAACGAUAGCUAAUACCGCAUGAGAAUAGAUACUGCAUGGUAUUUAUUUAAAAGGUGCAACAGCAUCACUACCAGAUGGACCUGCGUUGUAUUAGCUAGUAGGUAAGGUAACGGCUUACCUAGGCGACGAUACAUAGCCGACCUGAGAGGGUGAACGGCCACACUGGGACUGAGACACGGCCCAGACUCCUACGGGAGGCAGCAGUAGGGAAUCUUCGGCAAUGGGGGGAACCCUGACCGAGCAACGCCGCGUGAGUGAAGAAGGUUUUCGGAUCGUAAAGCUCUGUUGUAAGAGAAGAACAUCGCUGGGGGUGGAAAAUCCGGCGACUGACGGUAUCUUACCAGAAAGGGACGGCUAACUACGUGCCAGCAGCCGCGGUAAUACGUAGGUCCCGAGCGUUGUCCGGAUUUAUUGGGCGUAAAGCGAGCGCAGGCGGUUUGAUAAGUCAGAAGUAAAAGGCUGUGGCUCAACCAUAGUACGCUUUUGAAACUGUCAAACUUGAGUGCAGAAGGGGGGAGUGGAAUUCCAUGUGUAGCGGUGAAAUGCGUAGAUAUAUGGAGGAACACCGGUGGCGAAAGCGGCUCUCUGGUCUGUAACUGACGCUGAGGCUCGAAAGCGUGGGUAGCGAACAGGAUUAGAUACCCUGGUAGUCCACGCCGUAAACGAUGAGUGCUAGGUGUUGGGACCUUUCCUGGUCUCAGUGCCGGAGCUAACGCAUUAAGCACUCCGCCUGGGGAGUACGACCGCAAGGUUGAAACUCAAAGGAAUUGACGGGGGCCCGCACAAGCGGUGGAGCAUGUGGUUUAAUUCGAAGCAACGCGAAGAACCUUACCAGGUCUUGACAUCCCGGUGCCCUUCCUAGAGAUAGGAAUUUUCUUCGGAACACUGGAGACAGGUGGUGCAUGGUUGUCGUCAGCUCGUGUCGUGAGAUGUUGGGUUAAGUCCCGCAACGAGCGCAACCCUUAUUGUUAGUUGCCAUCAUUAAGUUGGGCACUCUAGCGAGACUGCCGGUAAUAAACCGGAGGAAGGUGGGGAUGACGUCAAAUCAUCAUGCCCCUUAUGACCUGGGCUACACACGUGCUACAAUGGCUGGUACAACGAGUUGCAAGUCGGUGACGGCAAGCUAAUCUCUUAAAGCCAGUCUCAGUUCGGAUUGUAGGCUGCAACUCGCCUACAUGAAGUCGGAAUCGCUAGUAAUCGCGGAUCAGCACGCCGCGGUGAAUACGUUCCCGGGCCUUGUACACACCGCCCGUCACACCACGAGAGUUUGUAACACCCGAAGUCGGUGGGGUAACCGUAAG